rnacentral:misc_RNA from 1 species
UAAAAAUUACUUUAAAAUACAACAAAACUAUUUAAAACUAUAACUCAUAAAAAACUCCUAAAACUACAUACAAAAUUUUAAAACAAAAAAUCCAAAAUAUUAGGAGAAGUCAUAGCGUAAGGCAACAGUGAAUGACCUGUCGCCAAAGGCAUCAAAGUCAAGAAAAAGGCACUCUGUUCGCUAGAGUUGAUAAAUAAUAUAUUUAUUAUAAAUCCUUGACUAUGAAUCAG